rnacentral:miRNA from 1 species
UACGAGCCACUUGAAACUGAA